AACGAACGCUGGCGGCAUGCCUAACACAUGCAAGUCGAACGAGACCUUCGGGUCUAGUGGCGCACGGGUGCGUAACGCGGGGGAACCUGCCCUUAGGUUCGGAAUACCUCCCCGAAAGGGGUGCUAAUACCGGUUAAUCUCUUCGGACCAAAGAUUUAUCGCCUUUGGAUGGGCCCGCGUUGGUUUCGCUAGUUGGUAGGGUAAAAGCCUACCAAGGCGACGAUCCAUAGCUGGUCUGAGAGGAUGAUUAGCCACGCUGGGACUGAGACACGGCCCAGACUCCUACGCGACGCAGCAGUGGGGAAUAUUAGACACUGGGCGAAAGCCUGAUCCAGCAAUGCCGCGUGAGUGAUGAAGGCCUUAGGAUUGUAAAGCUCUUUUACCCGGGAUGAUAAUGACAGUACCGGGAGAAUAAGCUCCGGCUAACUCCGUG
rnacentral:rRNA from 1 species